rnacentral:rRNA from 1 species
CCUACGGAGAGCUGCAGUGGGGAAUAUUGGACAAUGGGCGAAAGCCUGAUCCAGCCAUGCCGCGUGUGUGAAGAAGGCCUUCGGGUUGUAAAGCACUUUCAGUGGGGAAGAAAGCCUUGGGGCUAAUACCCUCGAGGAAGGACAUCACCCACAGAAGAAGCACCGGCUAACUCCGUGCCAGCAGCCGCGGUAAUACGGAGGGUGCGAGCGUUAAUCGGAAUUACUGGGCGUAAAGCGCGCGUAGGCGGUCUGAUAAGCCGGUUGUGAAAGCCCCGGGCUCAACCUGGGAACGGCAUCCGGAACUGUCAGGCUAGAGUGCAGGAGAGGAAGGUAGAAUUCCCGGUGUAGCGGUGAAAUGCGUAGAGAUCGGGAGGAAUACCAGUGGCGAAGGCGGCCUUCUGGACUGACACUGACGCUGAGGUGCGAAAGCGUGGGUAGCAAACAGGAUUAGAUCCCCGGUAGUC